rnacentral:rRNA from 1 species
AUGGCCGGGGCAAGCGCGCAGCCCGCGUGGGCGCAGGCGCUCGCGGCGGUGGGCCUCCUCGUCGCGUCGCGGGCCGCGGUGCGCCUUGCGCUGUGGCUCUACGCGGCCUUCCUCCGCCCCGCCAAGCCGCUGCGCCGCCGCUACGGCGCCUGGGCCGUCGUCACGGGCCCCACGGACGGCAUCGGACGCGCGCUUGCCUUCGAGCUCGCCGCCGCGGGGCUCGGCCUCGUCCUCGUCGGCCGCAGCCCCGACAAGCUCGCCGCGGUCUCCAAAGAGGUGACGGCCAGGCACCCUGGCGCUGGGGUGCGCACCUUCGUCCUCGACUUCGCGGCCGACGAGCUCGCCGCCAACGUGGCGGCCCUUGCUGAGUCCAUCCGAGGGCUCGACGUCGGCGUGCUCGUCAACAACGCCGGCCACUGCUACCCGUACGCGCGCUACUUCCACGAGGUUGACGAGGAGCUCACGCGGAACCUCAUACGCCUCAACGUCGAGGCCCUCACGCGGAUGACGAACGCCGUGCUUCCUGGCAUGGUGCAGCGCAAGCGGGGCGCGGUGGUGAACAUCGGGUCCGGCGCCGCCACCAUCCUGCCGUCCGACCCGCUCUACGCCGUGUACGCUGCCACCAAGGCAUAUGUCGAUCAAUUCUCGCGAAGCCUAUAUGUUGAGUACAGGAACAAAGGUAUCGAUGUGCAAUGUCAGGCACCCUGGUACGUGGCGACGAAAAUGGCCUCGAUCAGGCAGGCGUCCCUGUUCGCCCCGUCGCCGGAGACGUAUGCCCACGCCGCGGUGCGCUACAUCGGAUACGAGCCCCGGUGCACGCCUUACUGGGCGCACGCCCUCGUGUGGUUCCUCUUCACCGUCGUCCCCGAGCCCAUCGCCGACAAGUAUGUCCUUGGUGUGUCCCUCGGCAUCCGUGACAAGGGACACGCCAAAGAGGCCAGGAAGAAAGCCAUAUGA